rnacentral:rRNA from 1 species
UACGAAGGGGGCUAGCGUUGCUCGGAAUCACUGGGCGUAAAGGGUGCGUAGGCGGGUCUUUAAGUCAGGGGUGAAAGCCCAGGGCUCAACCCUGGAAUAGCCUUUAAUACUGGAUAUCUUGAGUUCGGGAGAGGUGAGUGGAACUCCGAGUGUAGAGGUGAAAUUCGUAGAUAUUCGGAAGAACACCAGUGGCGAAGGCGACUUACUGGACACAUAUUGACGCUGAGGUGCGAAAGCGUGGGGAGCAAACAGG